rnacentral:sRNA from 1 species
UUUACUCGUGAUGGCGCAUUAUUCUAGUCAAUUACAUUUAUUAUGAAGACGGGAUUAAAAAACCGUACAUUAGCACAUCUAUGAAACGUCUGGUGCUUGCUUCAUACGCCCAGUUUGGGGUGAGUGCUGGAUAUGAGAGUGUUGGGCGCUCGUAAUGGCAUACGAUUCCGACCCACCAUUUGUGGAGACCUAUUUUUGUGUUUAGCCUAUACGUGAAAACUGAUGGACUAGAUACGACUUAGGAUUAAACCUAUCUGUGGCGAAAGUUAUGGAUAGUGUAGCUUGCCUUGAGUGGUACUUGGGGAUUAACUAAAGACAAAAUCUUAUAGCUAGAGAUUCUUGUGGUUAUGAAACAUUUACUGCAAAAAAGACUAAUAAUAAAUGAUUGGUGAGGAAAACUCCUAGAGUGAAAUUAAUUUGGGAUUACAGUACGUACUAAGUGGUAAUCAAGUCAUAUAGAUGGAAACACUAUAUCUUAUCUUUUAAAGGGGAACCGCUUGCUGGUAACGGUAAGUAAGAUAUGGGGAAAUCCAACUUGACCUAAGACGUAAAGUUAACCUUAUUAAUAGCCAU